CCUCCUCUCUAGCCUGAAAGACUCCACGCGGGCUUUCUCCCUUGCCUGGGCUUCUGCAGUUGUAGUCGGCCUGUCUAUAGCUGAAUGGGGAAGGCAGAACUCUUCGUUGAGUUCCUCUAACUAACACAUACAUUCCUUGCUAACACAAGACCUCCAAAGACUAAUUGAAUCACCAGACUGACUAGCACCACUUCCUAAAAGACCAGAAAGUAGCCUACCAAUCGUGGUAAUCACCUCCGACUAUUUGUGUUAGAAUACUGAUGCUUAUCGAUCGGACUAUCUGCCUAUUCUACUACUUACCCCUUCGAAAAAGGAAGACUAGAGAGAACAGUUCAAUCCAAUUAAUCUGCUACUAGCAGAGGCGUGUACUAUUUCCCCAGCUACAGAAGUUUGGUUCCUACAAGAGGUUUUGUUUUGUCAACGAGACAACUACUAAUGUAACCUAAGAAGACUGUCGAUCAGGGAUCGGGAGUCAGAGAAAGG
rnacentral:lncRNA from 1 species